GUGUCCUCUGCCCAGGGCAAGGAGCAGAUGAAGGGCUACAAGGACCAGAGCUCUUUCCCUCUGUUCCCCAUUCCCCCAGGAGACUCUCUGGAAAGGUUUUUGGAAUGAAUGAAAACGAGUCCGGGACAGGCAGGAGCUGCAAGGCCAGGCUCCCAGGCCAGGCCCCCAGAUCAGCAACACAACUCUUAUCCAACCAAGGAGCAGUAUGCAAAAAGAAGCUGGGAGUGGAGGACCCUGCCAAGAGAAGCCUCGAGUGCCAAGCUCGGAUCGUGGUGCUGUGGGACUCGUGGAGAAGGAAGGCACUGGCCUACCUCAAGAGAGUGCGGUUUGGAGCCCUUCUCCCAAGGGUGCCAGAGGAGCCGCUCCCCAGACCAGUCAUCUCCUCAGGGAGAAAAGUACUAGGUCUAGGCUGAAAUGCACUCUACCAGUCAACAAAUACACCAACAGAUGCCU